AUACGGAGGGUGCAAGCGUUACUCGGAAUCACUGGGCGUAAGCGCGCGCAGGCGGCUAUUUAAGUUGGAUGUGAAAGCCUACGGCUCAACCGUAGAACUGCAUCCAAAACUAUUUAGCUAGAGUGUGGGAGAGGAAGAUGGAAUUAGUUGUGUAGGGGUAAAAUCCGUAGAGAUAACUAGGAAUACCAAAAGCGAAGGCAAUCUUCUGGAACAGUACUGACGCUGAGGCGCGAAAGCGUGGGGAGCAAACAGGAUUAGAAACCCUAGUAGUCC
rnacentral:rRNA from 1 species